rnacentral:rRNA from 1 species
GGAAAUCUCACCAGGCCCGGACACUGGAAGGAUUGACAGAUUGAUAGCUCUUUCUUCAGUGGGUGGUGGUGCAUGGCCGUUCUUAGUUGGUUGAGUGAUUUGUCUUGUUAAUUCCGUUAACGAACGAGACCUUAACCUGCUAAAUAGUGACGCGGUUCAUCGAACCGUGGGCCACUUCUUAGAGGGACUAUCGGAUUCAAACCGAUGGAAGUGUGAGGCAAUAA